AAAUUUCAACUGUGAAGCGGUUUGCGAGAUCUUUGGCGGAGAAGUGUGUUGGUAGCGGAAUAAAAUGAACGUAUUUCGUCAGGCGAUCACAAAUCACCCAAAUCGUAGUAUGACCGCAAGAACUAGGUACACCCCUGGCCAACAAAAAGAAGCUCUCAACCUAGCCAAUGUUGCCUUCACCCCUGAGUGUCCUGCUGUAGGUGUAUGGUGGUACUCACGCACUAUCUUUUGGCGCAAAUCAGCUAGUGCAGGUAUGGAGUAAAUCAGGCAGCGGUGAUGAUAAGAUGAGAAGUGUAGGAUUGUCUGGCUCAAACUUUCGACUUAAUGCAUCUGCAACCAGAUUCGACCUUCCAGAUUCUGUGAUGGCGAACAUUUCCCGAACAUAGACAGAGGCAGCUUGCAUGCGUGGACAAAGUUUCUUACUGAAGAAAGCAAUUGGAUGGCCUGCUUGGGAUAAAACAGCACCAAUGGCGACCCCGGAAGCAUCUGUCUCUAUUGUAAAUUCUUUUGUAAAAUUUGGUAGUGCUAAGACCGGCAUGUCGGUCAUUUUCUGUUUCAGCUCUGUAAAGGCCUGAGCAGCCUCUGUACUCCAAGUGAAUUUAGUGGAACGUAACAAGUCGGUGAGUGGAGCGGCGAGAGAGGCGUAACUUUUUACAAAACGGCGAUAAAACCCGGUGAGACCUAAAAAGCCGCGGAGUGUCGAGAGUGAACGUGGUGCUGGCCAAUCGAUAAUGGCUUUAAUUUUCUCUGAAUCCGGUGCAACACCUCCGGCUGAAAUGAUAUGUCCUAGGUACUCAAUUUGAACUGCGGCAAAAACACACUUAGAUAACUUCACAUAAAAUGCUUGCUUAGAUAACAACUCAAAAACAACCUGCAAAUGUGUUAAAUGCUCUUCAAAAUUAGCACUGUAGAUUAAAAUAUCAUCAAAAAAAACAAGAACAAAUUUUCUUAAGUAAGGGCGAAGUAGGUCAUUCAUAGCUGAUUGGAAUGUAGAUGGCCCAUUAGUUAAACCAAAGGGCAUUACAAGGAAUUCGUAAUGCCCAUCAAAAGUCCGAAAAGCUGUUU